ACAGGGGUAGCUUAAGCCAAAGCAUCCAGCUUACAAUUGGAAGACGUACUCACACCACCCCCUUGAG
rnacentral:tRNA from 1 species